rnacentral:rRNA from 1 species
CCUACGGGGUGCAGCAGUGAGGAAUAUUGGUCAAUGGGCUUACGCCUGAACCAGCCAAGUCGCGUGAGGGAAGACUGCCCUAUGGGUUGUAAACCUCUUUUGUCAGGGAGCAAUUGGCGCUACGUGUAGCGUUAUCGAGCGUACCUGAAGCAAAAGCAUCGGCUCACUCCGUGCCAGCAGCCGCGGUAAUACGGAGGAUGCUAGCGUUAUCCGGAUUUAUUGGGGUAAAGGGGUGCGUAGGCGGAAUGCCAAGUCAGCGGUAAAAUCGCGGGGCUCAACCUCGCUCCGCCGUUGAAACUGGCGUUCUUGAGUGGGCGAGAAGUAGGCGGAAUGCGUGGUGUAGCGGUGAAAUGCAUAGAUAUCACGCAGAACUCCAAUUGCGAAGGCAGCAUACCGGCGCCAAACUGACGCUGAAGCACGAAAGCGUGGGGAGCGAACAGGAUUAGAUACCCCUGUAGUC